GACGAACGCUGGCGGCGUGCUUAACACAUGCAAGUCGAACGGAAAGGCUCUGCUUUUGUGGGGUGCUCGAGUGGCGAACGGGUGAGUAACACGUGAGUAACCUGCCCUUGACUUUGGGAUAACUUCAGGAAACUGGGGCUAAUACCGGAUAGGAGCUCCUGCUGCAUGGUGGGGGUUGGAAAGUUUCGGCGGUUGGGGAUGGACUCGCGGCUUAUCAGCUUGUUGGUGGGGUAGUGGCUUACCAAGGCUUUGACGGGUAGCCGGCCUGGGAGGGUGACCGGGCACAAUGGGACUUGGGUACGGCCCAGACUCCUACGGGGGGCAACAGUGGGGAAUAUUGCACAAUUGGCCGGAGCCUGGUGCAGACACGCCGGGUGCGGGAAGACGGCCUUCGGGUUGUAAACCGCUUUCGCCUGUGACGAAGCGUGAGUGACGGUAAUGGGUAAAGAAGCACCGGCUAACUACGUG
rnacentral:rRNA from 1 species